rnacentral:rRNA from 1 species
GACGAACGCUGGCGGCGUGCUUAACACAUGCAAGUCGAACGAAGUGGCGAACGGGUGAGUACUACGUGGGUAACCUGCCCUCCUUUUUGGGAUAAGCCAUGGAAACGGGGUCUAAUACCGAAUCAAGGGGGAUUGGCUCGCGGCCUAUCCGCGUGUUGGUGGGGUGAUGGCCUACCAAGGCGGUGACGGGUCGCCGGCCGGGGAGGGUGACCGGGCAUAUUGGGACGGAGAUACGGCCCAGACUACUACGGGAGGCAGCAGUGGGGGCUAUUGAACAAUGGGCGAAAGCCUGAUGCAGCGACGCCGCGUGGGGGAUGAAGGCUUUAGGGUUGUAAACCUCUUUCGCUACCGAACGGGGAGGUGGAGAAGAAGCGCCGGCUAACUACGGGCCAGCCGCCGCGGUAAUAC